rnacentral:rRNA from 1 species
CAGUCGCCGCGGGAAUACGUAGGGUGCAAGCGUUAAUCGGAAUUACUGGGCGUAAAGCGUGCGCAGGCGGCUAUGCAAGACAGAUGUGAAAUCCCCGGGCUCAACCUGGGAACUGCAUUUGUGACUGCAUGGCUAGAGUACGGUAGAGGGGGAUGGAAUUCCGCGUGUAGCAGUGAAAUGCGUAGAUAUGCGGAGGAACACCGAUGGCGAAGGCAAUCCCCUGGACCUGUACUGACGCUCAUGCACGAAAGCGUGGUGAGCAAACAGGAUUAGAUACCCCAGUAGUCCCUGUCUCUUAUAC